rnacentral:rRNA from 1 species
AGAGUUUGAUCCUGGCUCAGAUUGAACGCUGGCGGAAUGCUUUACACAUGCAAGUCGAACGGCAGCACGGGAGCUUGCUCCUGGUGGCGAGUGGCGAACGGGUGAGUAAUGCGUCGGAACGUACCGAGUAAUGGGGGAUAACGCGGCGAAAGUCGCGCUAAUACCGCAUACGCCCUGAGGGGGAAAGCGGGGGAUCGCAAGACCUCGCGUUAUUCGAGCGGCCGACGUCUGAUUAGCUAGUUGGUGGGGUAAAGGCUCACCAAGGCGACGAUCAGUAGCGGGUCUGAGAGGAUGAUCCGCCACACUGGGACUGAGACACGGCCCAGACUCCUACGGGAGGCAGCAGUGGGGAAUUUUGGACAAUGGGGGCAACCCUGAUCCAGCCAUUCCGCGUGAGUGAAGAAGGCCUUCGGGUUGUAAAGCUCUUUCAGCUGGAGCGAAACGGUACGCUCUAACAUAGCGUGCUAAUGACGGUACCAGCAGAAGAAGCACCGGCUAACUACGUGCCAGCAGCCGCGGUAAUACGUAGGGUGCGAGCGUUAAUCGGAAUUACUGGGCGUAAAGCGUGCGCAGGCGGAUUGUUAAGCAAGACGUGAAAUCCCCGGGCUUAACCUGGGAAUGGCGUUUUGAACUGGCAGUCUAGAGUGCGUCAGAGGGGGGUGGAAUUCCACGUGUAGCAGUGAAAUGCGUAGAGAUGUGGAGGAACACCGAUGGCGAAGGCAGCCCCCUGGGAUGACACUGACGCUCAUGUACGAAAGCGUGGGUAGCAAACAGGAUUAGAUACCCUGGUAGUCCACGCCCUAAACGAUGUCAACUGGUUGUUGGGGGAGUGAAAUCCCUUAGUAACGAAGCUAACGCGUGAAGUUGACCGCCUGGGGAGUACGGUCGCAAGAUU